GACAGAGGGUGCAAACGUUGUUCGGAAUUACUGGGCGUAAAGCGCGUGUAGGCUGCUUCGCAAGUCGGAUGUGAAAAGCCCCUGGGCUCAACCCAGGAAGUGCAUUCGAAAACUGCAGAGCUGGAGUCCUGGAGAGGAAGGCGGAAUUCUCGGUGUAGAGGUGAAAUUCGUAGAUAUCGAGAGGAACACCGGUGGCGAAGGCGGCCUUCUGGACAGUGACUGACGCUGAGACGCGAAAAGCGUGGGGGAGCAAACAGG
rnacentral:rRNA from 1 species